rnacentral:lncRNA from 1 species
CAACUAUGGCAAAGAUACAAAUCUUCUGGAAUUAAGAAAGAGAGACUAGUCAGUGAAGAUUGGGGUUUAGAUGUCUAGUCCCUAGAAAGACCUCUACCUGUACUUUCUUUCUAGGGAAGAAUAAAAGGGAAAUAGUGGUGACAAUAGAAUUUCCCAAUUAGCGGCGCCUUACAGUAGAGGAAACAUGUGCCCCUUUUCCUGCAUAAGGCUUUGGAACAUGGCAAGAUCCAUGAUUCUCCUCUGCCCUAUGUUGGUCUGAGGAAUUGAAUAGAACUGAUUUCAGGUGUCCAAACAGAGAUUAUUGUGUGAGCCUCAUAAAAUUCCUGGAAAGCGGAGGAAUGACUUUUUUUUUUUUGGAACCCAAUUGUAGCACCGAUGUCAGGAAAAGCCUUAGUCAUCCUCAGAGAGCUUGAUGAAGGACCUGAGUGGAAGUUAGCCGUGACAAAGCUUGGAGGCUUUGCUGUUGGGACAAAGACACACAGUAGUACAGACUCUUUGAAGAUGUCAAGUGGCCAGAAGCGAGUAGGUUACUUCCACAGUAUACCUAGAGGAAAUGCAUGUGCAGAAAUAGCAGGAGAUAAGGCCAGAACAGUCAUUUGGAACUGGAUCCAUGGAACAUAGAUCAUGGAAGACCUCAAUGCCAAGCUGAUGUGUUUGGACAAGAUCCUUCAGGCAAGUGGGGUGAGGAGGUGCUGAGAGUUUUAAGCCUAGAAGAGGCUUGAUAAAAAUGGUGUUUGAAGAAGACUAGUUUUGUUUUUCUGAUAUUGAGACAACCAGGAAGCUUAAAAAAAACAAAACCCAAACACACAAAUAAGAACAACAACAAAAUGCAGAUUUUUUU